AUUGAACGCUGGCGGCAGGCCUAACACAUGCAAGUCGAACGAGUGGCGGACGGGUGGGUAAUGUCUGGGAACCUGCCCGAUGGAGGGGGAUAACUACUGGAAACGGUAGCUAAUACCGCAUACCAUCGGAUGUGCCCAGAUGGUAUUAGCUAGUAGGUGGGGUAAAGGCUCACCUAGGCGACGAUCCCUAGCUGGUCUGAGAGGAGGACCAGCCACACUGGAACUGAGACACGGUCCAGACUCCUACGGGAGGCAGCAGUGGGGAAUAUUGGACAAUGGGCGAAAGCCUGACGCAGCAACGCCGCGUGUAUGAAGAAGGUUUUCGGGUUGUAAAGCACUUUCAGUGGGGAGGCGUUACUUGCAGAAGAAGCCCCGGCUAACUCCGUGCCAGCAGCCGCGGUAAUUC
rnacentral:rRNA from 1 species